UACAGAGGGUGCAAGCGUUGUUCGGAAUUACUGGGCGUAAAGGGCUCGUAGGCGGCCAACUAAGUCAGACGUGAAAUCCCUCGGCUUAACCGGGGAACUGCGUCUGAUACUGGAUGGCUUGAAUCCGGGAGAGGGAUGCGGAAUUCCAGGUGUAGCGGUGAAAUGCGUAGAUAUCGUUUGGAACGCCAAAGGUGAAAACAGGUCGCUGGGAGUGUGCUGACGCUGAGACACGAAAGCCAGGGGAGCAAACGGG
rnacentral:rRNA from 1 species